rnacentral:ncRNA from 1 species
CGUGGCGAUGCGGAAUCUGAAGGAAGCCGGAGACAAACAUUGGGUCUGACGUACAGAAACAUGAUACCAAGGCCAAAGUCUGUGGGUAAGGCUGCAAAACAAGCAUGAUUCCUAUAACUAUACGGAACAGACAUGGUAAAUCAUGCAGACAUACAAUGGAAAGAAU